AGACGUAGGGGGCGAGCGUUGUCCGGAAUUACUGGGCGUAAAGGGCGUGUAGGCGGCUUGGCAAGUCAGCGGUGAAACACCUGGGCUUAACCCAGGUAUUGCCGUUGAAACUGCCUGGCUUGAGGGUAGAAGAGGAGUGUGGAAUUCCCGGUGUAGCGGUGAAAUGCGUAGAGAUCGGGAGGAACACCAGUGGCGAAGGCGGCACUCUGGUCUACCCCUGACGCUGAGGCGCGAAAGCUAGGGGAGCAAACAGGAUUAGAUACCCUGGUAGUCCUAGCCGUAAACUAUGGGCACUAGGUGUAGGAGGUUUAGAUACCUUCUGUGCCGUAGCUAACGCAUUAAGUGCCCCGCCUGGGGAGUACGGUCGCAAGGCUGAA
rnacentral:rRNA from 1 species